AGGGCACCCGCUAUAAAGCGUGUAAUUCCAGACAGGUCAAAGACCCUGAAAUCAGCGCAUGUCAAAGUAGUUUGUGGAGUUUCUUACACAAAAGUGUGUGUGCAACAUGUGCAUUAAAGAAAAGAACUGAACAAUGUUCACUUGAUUUACCUGACAACAGUUGCCUUCAAUUUUCAAAAUAUGCCAGUGUCUCAGAGAUCUCAGCACAAAGCACUUUAACAGCAAAUAUGACAAAUGAUUGAAUACUGUUUCUAUAUGCAUAUUUCAGGUCUUUGUGUUUUCUUAAUAACUGCUUACUCUGAACACCCUCACUUUUUCUUUUCCCUCAUGAGACAGGCUGUAGUUUCUGCACAACUGUGGUAGGCUCCAAUAUCCAUCAAUUAGAGUUGGAUAUGUAUGCUUGGAAUUUAAGGAACUCUGAGUGCAAGGAUACCAAAACUGAAAAUUGUCUAUAAUGUUCCAUAGGAAAAAAAGUAUCCUUAUUAAUCACAAAUGUGUUGAAUAAAUAAUUUCAGUUUAGCAUUAUAUUGAGGAGACAAUAGAUGCAUAGAUCUAUUUGGAUAGUUAGAAAUCUAUGGCAAUUACUUGCAAAUUUCUCAAAAUAUGACAAUAAAACACUACCUUGCUCA